AGUGUGACAGUGAGGAGUGCAGACUUUCAGAUGCAAUGAGUGUUUCUUCUCGUUGUUCUGUGCUCCUGUCCUGCACCAUAAGAGCAUGUCCCAGGUCAUCAUGUUCUUUUGACCAGGCUCCUGGAAUGAGAGACGCUUGGAGCUGACCUGAACUGGACCUCUAGAAGCAGAGAUGCUGAGAACAUCUGCAGAUACAUGAUGGAUUGAGCAGUCCCUGAGUCAUAUACUCUACCAGAGAAUGAAUGAUGUCUGGUAAAUAAGAUGAUGAAUCUGACACAUAAAAGUACUGAGGGCCCAGUCAAGGCAAUAUCACUGGCUGUGAAAUGCUGAAGAGAAUCAGUUGAAAGAGAAAGAAGAAUGAAUUGGAAAAGCAAAUACUUCUGUGUUCUACUGUCAAAUGUGAUGCAUUCAAAUAAGGGAUGUUAUGACAGAAAAAACAAAUCUUCCUCAACUUGUCCACAUCAGUUCCAUUCCCUCAUUUAUAGGGAAGCUUGAGGAAUGUUUAGUGAAAUGCUGGCAAAUAGACUUCAAGAGAAAGUCUAAUUAGUAAUGUUUUUUCUUCUAAGGUAAGUAGAGAAAAAAAGGUAAUUAUGGAAACCCCAAGUUUCGUUCUCAAAUUUAAGCCCAACUUAAAUAUAGUUUAAGGUCUUUCUUCCUUUAAACUCACCACUCUUACUGCUUUUUGAUUUUGUGGUGGUUCAUCCAUAUUAAUGUACCUAAUGACAGGCACUCUGAAAAGGUGAGAAUGAAUUCUUUUCCUUUGACAUAUCAGCUGAGGAUGAUGUUACAAAGCAUGUCUUUCAAUGUGUAUCUGCAUGGACUCCGGGUCUGAGAGAAUGAUAUAUACUUCUACUUUAUGCCUGCAAGAUUCAAAAGGCCUUUUCAAAUAUUCAUGUCUUUUUCUUUUUCCUUUUUAUUCUCUGCUGGUAUGUGUUAUGUGAUGAGAAGAAUGUCAGAGUCUCUGGAGUCUUAUUUUUAAGUUUUAGGCUUGCCUGAGGGGGGAAAUAUAUUGGAAAUUUGCUGGUCAAGCUGUUCACAUUUUCUCAUAACAUGUCUAAUAAUUGCAAUGCAGUUUGUUCAAAUAAUUUAGUCAGGAUUUGCAUACUUAGCAUGAUUGACUCUGAAGUGAGUUAUUGGGCAGUGCCUGGCAUUCAAUCAGUAACACCUGAGGAGAACAUUGCCUUUGUGUUGCAACCAAGAAGAAGUUAAAAAAGGCACAGAGAUGAGGGAUCUUUUUUUUAUAAGGGGAAUUCUGAUCAUUCUUCUCUGAUCUUGUUUUCAACUUGUGUCUUAAUUUCUUCAUAUUUGAUGCCUCAAGUUAAUAGGAUUUGUAUUGCCAUAGGCACUAUUGCCAUUUCAUAUGCUGUAUUAGGGAAGCGGAGUUGCUGAUUAGAAAAGUGAUAAUGCAACUUCCUCUUCUUUCUAAAUUAACCUUGGAGUGGAAGGGAAAUGCAUUCAUGAUUUUGUUAUUAUACUCACUAGUAUUGGCGGUUGUUUGUCCUUUUUAUUUUCUGUGGUUUUGAAAACUUAACAUAUACAUCCAUGGAGUAUAUUACUUAGUGUCUUUUUCUUCCAUCACAUUUCUGGACUAACUUUUGAAAAAAUAUUUUGCUUUUAAUUUUCAUCAGCUUCUGAGGCUCAUCUAUCUCCAAAUCAACCAGGAAAAAAAAGUAGAAGAAAAUCACCAGCUGUUGGGAAAGUUAUUUAGAGGAUGUUAGCCAGAUUAAUCUUUACAUAAUAAUUAUGAAUUAGUAACGUUUCUCCUCCAUAAAAUCCACAUAUUUAGUGAGCUUCAGAGAACAUAGAAGAGGCAAGAGAAAAUGACAGUGAAGUGAUGUAUUAGCCAUGGCUCUCUAGAGGGACAAGACUAAUAAGAUAGACAUAUAUAUGAAAGGGAGUUUAUUAAGGAGUAUUGACUGACACAGUCACAAGGUGAAGUCCCACAAUAGGCCGUCUGCCAUCUGAGGACCAAGGAAGCCAGCCCAAGUCCCCAAACCUCAAAAGUAGGAAAACCAACAGUGCAGCCUUCAGCCUGUGGCCAAAGGCCCGGGAGACCCUGGUAAACCACUGUAUAGGUCCAAGAGUCCAAAAGCUGAAGAACCUGGAGUCCGAUAUUCAAGGGCAGGAAGCAUCCAGCAUGGGAGAAAGAUGAAGGCCGGAAGACUCAGCCAGUCUAGUCCUUCCACGUUCUGUCUGCUUUAUUCUAGCUAUUCUGGCAGCUGAUUAGAGAUCGUGCCCACCCAGUUUGAGGGUGGGUCUGCCUCUCCCAGUCCACUGACUCAAAUGUUAAUCUCCUUUGGCAACACCCUCAAAGACACACCCAGGGACAAUACUUUGCAUUCUUCAAUCCAAUUAAGUUGACAGUAUUAACCAUCACAAGUGCUUCAUCAUGUUAUAAUAAAACAGAAUUAUGGCUUCAAGGACCCGCAGUCUUUAAAACUACCCACACAAAAGAUAAAAGGGAACUAAAAUUAUAAUUUCCCAAGGAUUAACAGUAUAAGCUUCAUUCUAAGUGAAUUAAAUAAUUUGUCAAUUUCCUCUUCAUACUGAAAGUAACCAUACUAGGAUAUAACAUGUGUUGGAAAAGUGAUUACAAAUGACUCAAAUCAGUGCCCUAAAAUUUCAAACAAAUUCCCACUAUUGAUACAUAAGGAAUCCACAUUGGGAUUAGCAGUAUUAUUCACUUAUGCAAAAAUAUCUUUUGACAUGAGGUGAAAACAUAACCUCUGAACACAGUCAUUCUUUUAGGUUUUCAGUGGGAAUUGUGCCUAAGUGAUUAGGAAAGGAUAUGGUCCAAUAAAUAAACUGAAAAUUUUGUAACAAGUGGUAGAGUAAUACAUAUUAAUUCUGAACAGAUUGACACUGUAAUUUGGGAUAAAAACCAUAAUGAUUACAGAACACAGUCAGUGUAAGUCUGAUGGACUAGAACAGAUGUGUCCACCUGUUUAGGGUCCAGCUCUGCUUCACUUGGGCUGCAUAACACUAGCUAUUUGGAAAGGCAUACAGGUUAGGAAACAGAAAAUAUAUUGGAUUCUGGAUCAAUUUUUGUUCUUCUAUGUAACAAUUAACGUCAAAAAGACAGAGCACACCAAAGGCUAAAAUAAAAGAAAGUCUAGAGGAGAUGUAAACAUUAUUACAUGCCUUUCAUUGGAGAUAAUUUGGAAACCUUCAUAAAGAGAUUUUCAAGGUCAGGAGUGUGUAAUAGAUUCAAACUGUUUUUGUUUUUCUAACAUCAACAAAUCUUGUAUAAAUUAACUCAAUCGGAGUUUUUUUAAAAUGCUAAACUGAAGAAAGAUGGAAAGAGACUCCAAUAUUAUAAUGUUCAUGCCUAGGGGCACUCCAUAUAUCCAAUACCAAGUAAGACUAGGCUUUUGUGAAUAUUUAUCACUUGAAAUCAUGGGGAAAAUACUUUUUUCUUGACAGAAUAUGCCCCAGGUUUAAAGAUUAUACUGUACAUCAUUAAGGGGUAAUUUUAUUUUUUCUUAAGGUAGAAGGAGAUAUCAGUACUAUAAUAAUAAAUCUGCCUCUUUGUUAUAAGAAAAGUUUAAUGUGUGGUCAUAAACAUUGUUUGUUUUAAAGACAGAUUGUUAUAGAUGUAUUAUUAAAAAUAUCCAUCCUGUCUGUACUCUUUAUACUUUCUUACUUAAAUUUAUUAACAAAAUUGGGUAUAUGUGUGCCAUUCUUUCUCUGUUGUCUCUGCCAUCCUCUGGAUAUUUAGCCAAUCCUUAACCUAAAAAGCCUUUGUCAUUAUAAGGGUAAAACAUCAUUUUGUUAUAUCUUAAUAUAGAGAAACCAGUCUUCUAGCUCAUUUAUAAUCUUCAAAUGUGUUUGUUGGAGAUGUUUUGUAUUCGUUAAUUUAUUUGAUUUUUUGUAUAAUAAUUUCCCUCCAAAUAAGGUUUUCAAAUUUCAUAAUGAGAAGAACACAGGUUAGUUUAGAGUACUGUAGAUAUAUUCUUGUCAAAGAUAUCAACUGGGUAAAAUGCUAUCGGAAACAUCCAAGAAGUUUAAAAAGUUU